rnacentral:rRNA from 1 species
UACGGGGGGGGCAAGCGUUGUCCGGAAUUACUGGGCGUAAAGGGCUUGUAGGCGGCCAACUAAGUCCGACGUGAAAUCCCCAGGCUCAACCUGGGAACUGCGUCGGAUACUGGAUGGCUUGAAUUCGGGAGAGGGAUGCAGAAUUCCAGGUGUAGCGGUGAAAUGCGUAGAUAUCUGGAGGAAUACCGGUGGCGAAGGCGGCAUCCUGGACCGAGAUUGACGCUGAAAAGCGAAAGCCAGGGGAGCAAACGGG